UAGGGAAUCUUCGGCAAUGGGGGCAACCCUGACCCAGCAACGCCGCGUGGAGGAAGAAGGUUUUCGGAUCGUAAACUCCUGUCCUCAGGGAAGAGAAGGAGACGGUACCUGAGGAGGAAGCCCCGGCUAACUACGUGCCAGCAGCCGCGGUAAUACGUAGGGGGCAAGCGUUGUCCGGAAUGAUUGGGCGUAAAGGGCGCGUAGGCGGCCCGGUAAGUCUGGAGUGAAAGUCCUGGCUUCAAGUUGGGAAUUGCUUUGGAUACUGUCGGGCUUGAGUGCAGGAGAGGUUAGUGGAAUUCCCAGUGUAGCGGUGAAAUGCGUAGAGAUUGGGAGGAACACCAGUGGCG
rnacentral:rRNA from 1 species